UACGUAGGGUGCAAGCGUUAUUCGGAAUUACUGGGCGUAAAGCGUGCGUAGGCUGUUUGGUAAGUCUGAUGUGAAAGCCCUCGACUCAAUCGAGGAUGUGCAUCAGAUACUGCUAAACUAGAGUACAGGAGAGGUGAGUGGAAUUCCCGGUGUAGAGGUGAAAUUCGUAGAUAUCGGGAGGAACAACGGAAGCGAAGGCGACUCACUGGACUGUUACUGACGCUGAAGCACGAAAGCGUGGGGAGCGAACGGG
rnacentral:rRNA from 1 species